rnacentral:rRNA from 1 species
GAUUCAGCGGCGGACGGGUGAGUAAUGCCUAGGAAUCUGCCCGAUAAUGGGGGACAACGUUUCGAAAGGAACGCUAAUACCGCAUACGUCCUACGGGAGAAAGUGGGGGAUCUUCGGACCUCACGCUAUCGGAUGAGCCUAGGUCGGAUUAGCUAGUUGGUGAGGUAAUGGCUCACCAAGGCGACGAUCCGUAACUGGUCUGAGAGGAUGAUCAGUCACACUGGAACUGAGACACGGUCCAGACUCCUACGGGAGGCAGCAGUGGGGAAUAUUGGACAAUGGGCGAAAGCCUGAUCCAGCCAUGCCGCGUGUGUGAAGAAGGUCUUCGGAUUGUAAAGCACUUUAAGUUGGGAGGAAGGGCUGUCGGCUAAUACCCUGCAGUUUUGACGUUACCAACAGAAUAAGCACCGGCUAACUUCGUGCCAGCAGCCGCGGUAAUACGAAGGGUGCAAGCGUUAAUCGGAAUUACUGGGCGUAAAGCGCGCGUAGGUGGUUCAGCAAGUUGGAUGUGAAAGCCCCGAGCUCAACCUGGGAACUGCAUCCAAAACUACUGAGCUAGAGUACGGUAGAGGGUGGUGGAAUUUCCUGUGUAGCGGUGAAAUGCGUAGAUAUAGGAAGGAACACCAGUGGCGAAGGCGACCACCUGGACUGAUACUGACACUGAGGUGCGAAAGCGUGGGGAGCAAACAGGAUUAGAUACCCUGGUAGUCCACGCCGUAAACGAUGUCAACUAGCUGUUGGGUUCCUUGAGAACUUAGUAGCGAAGCUAACGCGAUAAGUUGACCGCCUGGGGAGUACGGCCGCAAGGUUAAAACUCAAAUGAAUUGACG